UACGGGAGUCAGCAGUGGGGAAUAUUGCACAAUGGGCGAAAGCCUGAUGCAGCUAUGCCGCGUGUAUGAAGAAGGCCUUAGGGUUGUAAAGUACUUUCAUGGGGAGGAAAAAACAAAACUAAUAAUUUUAUUUCUUGACGUUACCCGAAAAAGAAGCACCGGCUAACUCCGUGCCAGCAGCCGCGGUAAUACGGAGGGUGCUAGCGUUAAUCAGAAUUACUGGGCGUAAAGAGCACGUAGGUGGUUUUUUUAAAGUCAGAUGUGAAAUCCCUGGGCUUAACCUAGGAACUGCAUUUGAAACUGAAAUACUAGAGUAUCGUAGAGGGAGGUAGAAUUCUAGGUGUAGCGGUGAAAUGCGUAGAUAUCUGGAGGAAUACCUGUGGCGAAAGCGGCCUCCUAAACGAAUACUGACACUGAGGGUGCGAAAGCGUGGGGAGCAAAACAGGGAUUAGAUACC
rnacentral:rRNA from 1 species